rnacentral:rRNA from 1 species
AAAGGGUACGUAGGCGGCUGGUCAAGUCUGGGGUCAAAGGCCACAGCUCAACUGUGGGAAGGCCCUGGAAACUGACCGGCUAGAGUAGGUAGGGGUUGCGGGAAUUCCCGGUGUAGCGGUGAAAUGCGUAGAGAUCGGGAAGAACACCUGAGGCGGAAGCGCGCAACUGGGCCUCAACUGACGCUGAGGUACGAAAGCUAGGGGAGCGAAUGGGAUUAGAUACCCGGGUAGUCCACGCCGUAAACGAUGACCACUCGGCGUGUGGCGACACUAAUUUCGCGGCGCGCCCUAGCUCACGCGAUAAGUGGUCCGCCUGGGAACUACGAGCGCAAGCUUAAAACUCAAAGGAAUUGGCGGGGGCCCGCACAAGCAGCGGAGCGUGUGGUUUAAUUCGACGCAACCCGCAGAACCUUACCCAGACUGGACAUGACGGGCAGACGGCGGAAACGUCGUCGCCUGCGGGGUCCGUCACAGGUGCUGCAUGGCUGUCGUCAGCUCGUGUCGUGAGAUGUUGGUCUAAGUCCCGCAACGCGCGCAACCCAUGCGGUUAGUUACCCGUGUCUAACCGGACUGCCCUUCGGGGAGGAAGGCGGGGAUGACGUCAAGUCCGCAUGGCCCUUACGUCUGGGGCGACACACACGCUACAAUGGCGCCGACAAUGCGUCGCUCCCGCGCAAGCGGAUGCUAAUCGCCAAACGGCGCCCCAGUGCAGAUCGGGGGCUGCAACUCGCCCCCGU